AUACCGGCCAGAGACCGAUAGCGCACAAGUAGAGUGAUCGAAAGAUGAAAAGCACUUUGAAAAGAGAGUUAAAAAGUACGUGAAAUUGUUGAAAGGGAAGCGUUUAUGACCAGACUUGGGCUUGGUUAAUCAUCUGGGGUUCUCCCCAGUGCACUUUUCCAGUCCAGGCCAGCAUCAGUUUUCCCCGGGGGAUAAAGACUUCGGGAAUGUGGCUCUCUUCGGGGAGUGUUAUAGCCCGUUGUGUAAUACCCUGGGGGGGACUGAGGUUCGCGCAUCUGCAAGGAUGCUGGCGUAAUGGUCAUCAACGACCCGUCUUGAAACACGGNACC
rnacentral:rRNA from 1 species